rnacentral:rRNA from 1 species
UACGUAGGGGGCAAGCGUUGUCCGGAAUCAUUGGGCGUAAAGAGCGUGUAGGCGGUCCGGUAAGUCGGCUGUGAAAGUCCAGGGCUCAACCCUGGGAUGCCGGUCGAUACUGCCGGACUAGAGUUCGGAAGAGGAGAGUGGAAUUCCCGGUGUAGCGGUGAAAUGCGCAGAUAUCGGGAAGAACACCUAUGGCGAAGGCAGCUCUCUGGGACGGUACUGACGCUGAGACGCGAAAGCGUGGGGAGCGAACAGG